UGGGGAAUCUUGGACAAUGGGGGCAACCCUGAUCCAGCCAUGCCGCGUGAGUGAUGAAGGCCUUAGGGUCGUAAAGCUCUUUCGCCUGUGAAGAUAAUGACGGUAGCAGGUAAAGAAACCCCGGCUAACUCUGUGCCAGCAGCCGCGGUAAUACGGAGGGGGUUAGCGUUGUUCGGAAUUACUGGGCGUAAAGCGCACGUAGGCGGACCAGAAAGUUGGGGGUGAAAUCCCGGGGGCUCAACCCCGGAACUGCCUCCAAAACUAUUGGUCUAGAGUUCGAGAGAGGUGAGUGGAAUUCCAAGUGUAGAGGUGAAAUUCGUAGAUAUUUGGAGGAACACCAGUGGCGAAGGCGGCUCACUGGCUCGAUACUGACGCUGAGGUGCGAAAGUGUGGGGAGCAAACAGGAUUAGAUACCCUGGUAGUCCACACCGUAAAACGAUGAAUGCCAGUCGUCGGGUAGCAUGCUAUUCGGUGACACACCUAACGGAUUAAGCAUUCCGCCUGGGGAGUACGGUCGCAAGAUUAAAA
rnacentral:rRNA from 1 species